UACGGGGGGGAGCAAGCGUUGUUCGGAUUUACUGGGCGUAAAGGGCGCGUAGGCGGCGCAACAAGUCACUUGUGAAAUCUCCGGGCUUAACCCGGAGCGGCCAAGUGAUACUGUCGUGCUAGAGUGCGGAAGGGGCUACUGGAAUUCUCGGUGUAGCGGUGAAAUGCGUAGAUAUCGAGAGGAACACCUGCGGCGAAGGCGGGUAGCUGGGCCGACACUGACGCUGAUGCGCGAAAGCGUGGGGAGCGAACAGG
rnacentral:rRNA from 1 species